rnacentral:tRNA from 1 species
AGUUAAUGAGCUUGUAUAAGCAUAUAUUUUGAAAAUAUAAGAAAGAUACUAAUAUCUAUUAACUU